rnacentral:rRNA from 1 species
AUUGAACGCUGGCGGCAGGCCUAACACAUGCAGGUCGAGCGGAUGAAGGGAGCUUGCUCCUGGAUUCAGCGGCGGACGGGUGAGUAAUGCCUAGGAAUCUGCCUGGUAGUGGGGGAUAACGUCCGGAAACGGGCGCUAAUACCGCAUACGUCCUGAGGGAGAAAGUGGGGGAUCUUCGGACCUCACGCUAUCAGAUGAGCCUAGGUCGGAUUAGCUAGUUGGUGGGGUAAAGGCCUACCAAGGCAACGAUCCGUAACUGGUCUGAGAGGAUGAUCAGUCACACUGGAACUGAGACACGGUCCAGACUCCUACGGGAGGCAGCAGUGGGGAAUAUUGGACAAUGGGCGAAAGCCUGAUCCAGCCAUGCCGCGUGUGUGAAGAAGGUCUUCGGAUUGUAAAGCACUUUAAGUUGGGAGGAAGGGCAGUAAGUUAAUACCUUGCUGUUUUGACGUUACCAACAGAAUAAGCACCGGCUAACUUCGUG